rnacentral:rRNA from 1 species
AGGACGAACGCUGGCGGCGUGCUUAACACAUGCAAGUGGAGCGACGAACCAGGGCUUGCCCUGGGGCAGAGCCGCGAACGGGUGAGUAACACGUGGGUUACCUACCCCGAUGACCGGGACAACCCGAGGAAACUCGGGCUAAUACCGGAUGUGGUCCUCGGACUAAAGGAAGCUUCGGCCUCCGCAUCGGGAUGGGCCCGCGGCGCAUUAGCUUGUUGGUGGGGUAACGCCUACCAAGGCGACGAUGCGUAGCUGGUCUGAGAGGACGAUCAGCCACACUGGGACUGAGACACGGCCCAGACUCCUACGGGAGGCAGCAGUGGGGAAUCUUGCGCAAUGCGCGAAAGCGUGACGCAGCAACGCCGCGUGCGGGAAGAAGGCCCUAGGGUUGUAAACCGCUUUCAGCAGGGAAGAAAAUGACGGUACCUGUAGAAGAAGGUGCGGCCAACUACGUGCCAGCGAGCCGC